rnacentral:rRNA from 1 species
UNUGAAGUUAAAGGCUGUGGCUUAACCAUAGUACGCUUUGGAAACUGUUUAACUNGAGUGCAGAAGGGGAGAGUGGAAUUCCAUGUGUAGCGGUGAAAUGCGUAGAUAUAUGGAGGAACACCGGUGGCGAAAGCGGCUCUCUGGUCUGUAACUGACGCUGAGGCUNGAAAGCGUGGGGAGCGAACAGGAUUAGAUACCCUGGUAGUCCACGCCGUAAACGAUGAGUGCUAGGUGUUAGGCCCUUUCCGGGGCUUAGUGCCGCAGCUAACGCAUUAAGCACUCCGCCUGGGGAGUACGACCGCAAGGUUGAAACUCAAAGGAAUUGACGGGGGCCCGCACAAGCGGUGGAGCAUGUGGUUUAAUUCGAAGCAACGCGAAGAACCUUACCAGGUCUUGACAUCCCGAUGCCCGCUCUAGAGAUAGAGUUUUACUUCGGUACAUCGGUGACAGGUGGUGCAUGGUUGUCGUCAGCUCGUGUCGUGAGAUGUUGGGUUAAGUCCCGCAACGAGCGCAACCCUUAUUGUUAGUUGCCAUCAUUCAGUUGGGCACUCUAGCGAGACUGCCGGUAAUAAACCGGAGGAAGGUGGGGAUGACGUCAAAUCAUCAUGCCCCUUAUGACCUGGGCUACACACGUGCUACAAUGGCUGGUACAACGAGUCGCAAGUCGGUGACGGCAAGCUAAUCUCUUAAAGCCAGUCUCAGUUCGGAUUGUAGGCUGCAACUCGCCUACAUGAAGUCGGAAUCGCUAGUAAUCGCGGAUCAGCACGCCGCGGUGAAUACGUUCCCGGGCCUUGUACACACCGCCCGUCACACCACGAGAGUUUGUAACACCCGAAGUCGGUGAGGUANCCUUUUAGGAGCCA